GUGCUAAGGUAGCAUAAUCAUUUGCCUCUUAAUUAGAGGCUAGUAUGAAUGGACAAACGUGAGUCAAGCCGUCUCUUCUCUAUAAAUAAAAAUUAAUCUUUAGGUGAAAAAGCCUAAAUUCUAUAAAAAGACAAAAAGACCCUAUUGAGUUUUAUUACAUAAGCUUUAACCUAUAAUAAAAUAAAUUUCUCAAGUCAAAAGUAAUUUAGUUGGGGCGACUGAGGAAAAAAAUAAAUCUUCCUUAAAGUUUAAGGAUAUAAACCUAUUUAAUGAUCCGCAGAAGCGAUUAAAAGAAAUAACUACCAUAGGGAUAACAGGCUAAUUUCCUUCAAGAGCCCAUAUUGACAAGGAGGUUUGGC
rnacentral:rRNA from 1 species